GGUGAGGUGGCAGCCCUAUGCCGUGAUAGCAGUGGAAAUUAUCUAGGAGCUUUGGCAGUUGUCUACCAGGGCAUCACUGAUCCAACGAUCCUCGAGACAUAUGCGUGCAGAGAAGCUCUCGCGUUGGCAGAAGACCUGGCAAUCCAGAAUUUGAUCGUGGCCUCGGACUUCCAAGGAGUCGUUAAUGACAUUAACAUGGGGACGAGAGGGCCUCAUGCUGCUAUCAUCCAUGAAAUAGUAGCUCGUAGAAAUAGUUUUCCUUCUUGCAGUUUUGUUUUUGAGCGUAGAAAUUUUAACUUUAAGGCUCACAAUCUCGCAAAAUAUAUAUGUAAUCUAGGUAUAGGUAGACAUGUCUGGUUGGGUCUCCCUUAUGACCCAAUUCGUGUACCUAUGGAUAUCACUCUGAAUCAAUAA
rnacentral:rRNA from 1 species